ACCUCAGCCUUCCAAGCUGAUGGUGUGGGUUCGAUUCCCAUCACCCGCUCCA
rnacentral:tRNA from 1 species